AGAACUGUCGAUCCCUCCACUAUAUAAGUAGCAGCUUCAGUCUCCUGCAACUGCAAGAAGAAAACGAGAAAGAAAAUGACGGCCACAAGAGCAGCAGUGAUGAAGUUGGCGAUCGUCCUCCUGGCGAUGAGCCAGCUCGUCCACAUGGCGACGCCAACGGCGGAUCCAAUGACUACUACAUCAUCGUCCCUACUGGUCACGAGCGUUUGCGGCCCUUCUAGCGGUUAGUCAUCACCUCAAGUUCAUACUAGAGCACUGGUAAUUAGCUUGGUUGAUUAGUUAGCUACUGAUGAGAGGUACUACAAGAAACUGAGAUAGUUGAUUUUUGUCUUGGCCAGGGGGAGUCAAUCCUCAACCCAGUCAUGGCAUCAGGGAAGAGAAGGUGCUGCUCGAUGCGGCCAAGCCCAGCAUCCCUGUUCCGCCCCCUCCCCACCUCAUCCUACCGUGCAAGGGAAGAGCCUGUUGACCUCAAGGCCGGGGACGGUCAAAGUCAAGUGCAGCUGGAGCUCCAAGUGCCGAGAGCAAUAGAAUGCCCCCAGCUUCCUCUGUAUUGUACUCGAUCGUUUAUGAUCGACUCAUGGAAUAAAAUAAGCGCAACCUUGUUUUAUACUGUAUCUACUAUCUCGUUUUGCCUGAAAAAGGUUUGUCAAGUUUAUGAACUCUA
rnacentral:lncRNA from 1 species